rnacentral:rRNA from 1 species
CAUGAAGUUGGAAUUGCUAGUAAUCGCGGAUCAGCAUGCCGCGGUGAAUACGUUCCCUGGCCUUGUACACACCGCCCGUCACACCAUGGGAGCCGGUAAUACCCGAAGUCAGUAGCCUAACCGCAAGGGGGGCGCUGCCGAAGGUAGGAUUGGCGGCUGGGGUGAAGUCGUAACAAGGUAGC